UACGGAGGGUGCAAGCGUUAUCCGGAUUUACUGGGUUUAAAGGGUGCGUAGGUGGGUAGAUAAGUCAGCGGUGAAAUCUCCAGGCUUAACUUGGAAACUGCCAUUGAUACUAUAGGUCUUGAAUACUGUGGAGGUCAGCGGAAUAUGUCAUGUAGCGGUGAAAUGCUUAGAUAUGACAUAGAACACCAAUUGCGAAGGCAGCUGGCUACACAAAUAUUGACACUGAGGCACGAAAGCGUGGGGAUCAAACAGG
rnacentral:rRNA from 1 species